AACGAACGCUGGCGGCGUGCCUAACACAUGCAAGUCGCGCGAGAAAGCGGGGGCAACUCCGUGAGUAAAGCGGCGCACGGGUGAGUAAUACGUAGGUAACCUACCUCCGAGACCGGGAUAACCCUCCGAAAGGAAGGCUAAUACCGGAUGAGACCACGGAGCCUCGGCUCUGCGGUCAAAGGUGGCCUCUAUUUAUAAGCUACCACUCGAAGAUGGGCCUGCGCACCAUUAGCUAGNGGCGAGGUAACGGCUCACCAAGGCGAAGAUGGUUAGCUGAUCUGAGAGGAUGAUCAGCCACACUGGGACUGAGACACGGCCCAGACUCCUACGGGAGGCAGCAGUGGGGAAUCUUGGACAAUGGGGAAACCCUGAUCCAGCGACGCCGCGUGGGUGAUGAAGGCCUUCGG
rnacentral:rRNA from 1 species